ensembl:lncRNA
CCCAUCUUCAGUUAUAAGUGGGUUCCAAUGUUGACAUGGUAACCCAUAGUCAACAGAGCACCUUCUUACAUGUUCUCUUGGCCACAGAGACUCAAAACUGAAGCACUUCUCACAUUACCUGUUCGAGACCAAAGACUUUUAGAGCUUAUCUGUCAGAGAUUCAACCUCUGAAGGAUUUCUCACAACUGCUUGUCAGGACUGGAGACUGAAAGAGCUUAUCUUUCAGCCUCAGGACUUGACAGAGACAGAAUACAACUAUAAUUUCAUGGCAACCCCAAACCCCAGCAGUGACUGCUCGGACUCAGAGCAGUCCCAUAUGAAAAUAAAUUCCCCGGAGAGCCUCGCAGGGGAUGAUCUCCCUGAUUCCCACACCUUCCACAAAGAGACCAAAACCACCCUCAAAGGUAACGUGUGUCACCAGGAGACAACAACCUUUCAUGAAGGAUAUGUUGUGGGUUCCUCAGUCAACGGCCACCCUACUGUGGAAGGACCAGAGGACACAGGGAGUCUAGGAAGAUGCAUGGACAAUAAUUCUGACACCACCAAGGACAACCCUAACCAGGCGCAUAUACAGAUGUAUCCUGAUGUGGAAGAGGAUGAGGAGACAGACUCAGAUAGCGAAGGCGAAGGAGCUGAUCAAAUUGUCACUAACAACAACAAGUGGAUAAAUAAGAAUUUAAGACUCAGAGGGCUAUACAUUGACCCUGUGGAUGGCUGGCCAGUAAUUCAGCUUGUCAGUCCCAAACUCACCAAGGAACAAGCACCAGAAGAUAGUCACAAUGAGGAGAGAAAGGAGGAAAGCGAAAGCAGCGAAGAUGAAUAUGGGGAUGCAGAUAAACUAAUUGAAAACUUCAAAGACCAAGAUGAAGGCAUGCUAAUGGGAUUAAUUGAAAAAGAAAAAGAGGACACGAAGAUCAAGAACAACGAAGACACCUGGAGUGAUGACGAAGAGUAUGUGGACCUUUAUGAACGAAUGCUGGUGUAUAAAAUAUCUGAUGACACCAGGCUUCCUGAUUCCAGUGAGGAUGAUGGAAGACAGCUCAAUGAGAGUUCCUUGGAGAAGGAAAACAUCCCAGACAAUGAAGACCCUCAGGACGCUGAUAAACAAACCUAUGACUCUGACAAAGAUGAUGCCCUCUGGCUCCGAGAACCACCUGAGGGAAACUUCCAGCUGGGCAGCAGCUCCCCUCCUCAUCCAGCUCAGGUCCCAUGUGAAGAACACCACACAUGUGAGGACCUGCCCACAUGCAAACCACCAGAAAAUACACAAGUCACCCAAGUCCCAGAGAUGCCGGCAAUGCUCCCGGAAGAUGAACCUGCUGAGCCUCAGGACUUGACAGAGACAGAAUACAACUAUAAUUUCAUGGCAACCCCAAACCCCAGCAGUGACUGCUCGGACUCAGAGCAGUCCCAUAUGAAAAUAAAUUUCCCGGAGAGCCUCGUAGGGGGUGAUCUCCCUGAUUCCCACACCUUCCACAAAGAGACCAAAACCACCCUCAAAGGUAACGUGUGUCACCAGGAGACAACAACCUUUCAUGAAGGAUAUGUUGUGGGUUCCUCAGUCAACGGCCGCACUACUGUGGAAGGACCAGAGGACACACAGAGUCUAGGAAGAUGCAUGGACAAUAACUCUGACACCACCAAGGACAACCCAAACCAGGCGCGUAUACAGAUGUAUCCUGAUGUGGAAGAGGAUGAGGAGACAGACUCAGAUAGCGAAGGCGAAGGAGCUGAUCAAAUUGUCACUAACAACAAUAAGUGGAUAAAUAAGAAUUUAAGACUCAGAGGGCUAUACACUGACCCUGUGGAUAGCUGGCCAGUAAUUCAGCUUGUCAGUCCCAAACUCACCGAGGAACAAGCACCAGAAGAUAGUCACAAUGAGGAGAGAAAGGAGGAAAGCGAAAGCAGCGAAGAUGAACAUGGGGACGCAGAUAAACUAAUUGAAAACUUCAAAGACCAAGAUGAAGGCAUGCUAAUGGGAUUAACUGAAAAAGAAAAAGAGGACACGAAGAUCAAGAACAACGAAGACACCUGGAGUGAUGACGAAGAGUAUGUGGACCUUUAUGAACGAACGCUGGUGUAUAAAAUAUCUGAUGACACCAGGCUUCCUGAUUCCAGUGAGGAUGAUGGAAGACAGCUCAAUGAGAGUUCCUUGGAGAAGGAAAACAUCCCAGACAAUGAAGACCCUCAGGACGCUGAUAAACAAACCUAUGACUCUGACAAAGAUGAUGCCCUCUGGCUCCGAGAACCACCUGAGGGAAACUUCCAGCUGGGCAGCAGCUCCCCUCCUCAUCCAGCUCAGGUCCCAUGUGAAGAACACCACACAUGUGAGGACCUGCCCACGUGCAAACCACCAGAAAAUACACAAGUCACCCAAGUCCCAGAGAUGCCGGCAAUGCUCCCGGAAGAUGAACCUGCUGAGCCUCAGGACUUGACAGAGACAGAAUACAACUAUAAUUUCAUGGCAACCCCAAACCCCAGCAGUGACUGCUCGGACUCAGAGCAGUCCCAUAUGAAAAUAAAUUUCCCGGAGAGCCUCGUAGGGGGUGAUCUCCCUGAUUCCCACACCUUCCACAAAGAGACCAAAACCACCCUCAAAGGUAACGUGUGUCACCAGGAGACAACAACCUUUCAUGAAGGAUAUGUUGUGGGUUCCUCAGUCAACGGCCGCACUACUGUGGAAGGACCAGAGGACACACAGAGUCUAGGAAGAUGCAUGGACAAUAACUCUGACACCACCAAGGACAACCCAAACCAGGCGCGUAUACAGAUGUAUCCUGAUGUGGAAGAGGAUGAGGAGACAGACUCAGAUAGCGAAGGCGAAGGAGCUGAUCAAAUUGUCACUAACAACAAUAAGUGGAUAAAUAAGAAUUUAAGACUCAGAGGGCUAUACACUGACCCUGUGGAUAGCUGGCCAGUAAUUCAGCUUGUCAGUCCCAAACUCACCGAGGAACAAGCACCAGAAGAUAGUCACAAUGAGGAGAGAAAGGAGGAAAGCGAAAGCAGCGGAGAUGAACAUGGGGACGCAGAUAAACUAAUUGAAAACUUCAAAGACCAAGAAGAAGGCAUGCUAAUGGGAUUAACUGAAAAAGAAAAAGAGGACACGAAGAUCAAGAACAACGAAGACACCUGGAGUGAUGACGAAGAGUAUGUGGACCUUUAUGAACGAAUGCUGGUGUAUAAAAUAUCUGAUGACACCAGGCUUCCUGAUUCCAGUGAGGAUGAUGGAAGACAGCUCAAUGAGAGUUCCUUGGAGAAGGAAAACAUCCCAGACAAUGAAGACCCUCAGGACGCUGAUAAACAAACCUAUGACUCUGACAAAGAUGAUGCCCUCUGGCUCCGAGAACCACCUGAGGGAAACUUCCAGCUGGGCAGCAGCUCCCCUCCUCAUCCAGCUCAGGUCCCAUGUGAAGAACACCACACAUGUGAGGACCUGCCCACGUGCAAACCACCAGAAAAUACACAAGUCACCCAAGUCCCAGAGAUGCCGGCAAUGCUCCCGGAAGAUGAACCUGCUGAGAUGCUGAAGACCAGCACCAAGGAGUCCUCCUCGGUCUCCCUGGGGGAGUCAGAGGACGAUGACACUGGAUCUGACACACAAACCACAACCUGUGUGAACUGGAGGCAGGCCUUCCGCUGGCUCCGGAAAAGAGUCCUCUCGUGUAUGGGGAGGAGAGUGACAGUCAGAAACCCACCAGCAACCCCAACCAAGAAAAGUCUUCCCACUUCCAAGGAAACCCACCCCAAAGAAACCCUCAGUGAUUAAUUAGCACAACCCAAUCCACUAAGCACACUAAGCAGUGUGAUGGCCCCACUUCUAUAGUCCUGUGAUUUUAUUAUUUUAAAUAAAAUAUGCAUUCGUGUUCUCCA